rnacentral:rRNA from 1 species
GUGCCAGCAGCCGCGGUAAUACGGAGGAUGCAAGCGUUAUCCGGAAUGAUUGGGCGUAAAGCGUCCGUAGGUGGUUAUGUAAGUCUGUGGUUAAAGCGUGGGGCUCAACCCCAUAAAGGCUAUGGAAACUACAAGACUUGAGUAAAGUAGGGGUAGAGGGAAUUCCCAGUGUAGCGGUGAAAUGCGUAGAGAUUGGGAAGAACACCGGUGGCGAAAGCGCUCUACUGGACUUAAACUGACACUGAGGGACGAAAGCUAGGGGAGCGAAAGGGAUUAGAUACCCCUGUAGUCCUAGCCGUAAACGAUGGAUACUAGGCGUGGCUUGUAUCGACCCGAGCCGUGCCGUAGCUAACGCGUUAAGUAUCCCGCCUGGGGAGUACGCCGGCAACGGUGAAACUCAAAGGAAUUGACGGGGGCCCGCACAAGCGGUGGAGUAAGUGGUUUAAUUCGAUGCAACGCGAAGAACCUUACCAGGACUUGACAUGUCGCGAAUCUUGAUGAAAGUCAGGAGUGCCUUCGGGAGCGCGAACACAGGUGGUGCAUGGCUGUCGUCAGCUCGUGUCGUGAGAUGUGGGGUUAAGUCCCGCAACGAGCGCAACCCUCGUUUUUAGUUGCCAGCAUUAAGUUGGGCACUCUAGAGAGACUGCCGGUGACAAACCGGAGGAAGGUGGGGAUGACGUCAAGUCAGCAUGCCCCUUACGUUCUGGGCUACACACGUACUACAAUGCAACGGACAAAGGGCAGCUACACAGCGAUGUGAUGCUAAUCUCAUAAACCGUUGCUCAGUUCAGAUCGCAGGCUGCAACUCGCCUGCGUGAAGGAGGAAUCGCUAGUAAUUGCAGGUCAGCAUACUGCAGUGAAUUCGUUCCCGGGCCUUGUACACACCGCCCGUCACACCAUGGAAGCUGGCAACGCCCGAAGUCAUUACCCCAACUUUUCGGAGAGGGGGAUGCCUAAGGCAGUGCUGGUGGCUGGGGUGAAGUCGUAACAAGGUAACC